GGCGAAGUGGCGGAGUGGUUAACGCGAUUGACUAGAAUUUGAUACUCAGUAUCUGUUUAAAUCAAUUUCCUUCGGGAGCGUAGGUUCAAAUCCUGCCUUCGUCG